CCCUUAGAUGUUCUGGGCCGCACGCGUGCUACACUGAGUGGAUCAGCGGGUCAGGUUGCGCGAAAGGGUUUCCUAAUCUUUAAAUCCGCUCGUGAUGGGGAUUGACGGUUGCAAUUUUCUGUCAUGAACGAGGAAUACCUUGUAAGCGCGGGUCAUCAUCCCGCGCUGAAUACGUCCCUGCCCUUUGUACACACCGCCCGUCGCUCCUACCGAUUGAGUGGUCCGGUGAGGCUUUGGGAUCUGAGCGGAAAGAGCGUUUCGCUGUUUCUGCUCGGAAAACUCAGUCGAACCUUAUCAUUUAGAGGAAGGAGAAGUCGUAACA
rnacentral:rRNA from 1 species